rnacentral:rRNA from 1 species
AUUGAACGCUGGCGGCAGGCCUAACACAUGCAAGUCGAACGGUAACAGGAAACAGCUUGCUGUUUCGCUGACGAGUGGCGGACGGGUGAGUAAUGUCUGGGAAACUGCCUGAUGGAGGGGGAUAACUACUGGAAACGGUAGCUAAUACCGCAUAACGUCGCAAGACCAAAGAGGGGGACCCUCGGGCCUCUUGCCAUCGGAUGUGCCCAGAUGGGAUUAGCUUGUUGGUGGGGUAACGGCUCACCAAGGCGACGAUCCCUAGCUGGUCUGAGAGGAUGACCAGCCACACUGGAACUGAGACGCGGUCCAGACUCCUGCGGGAGGCAACAGUGGGGAAUAUUGCGCAAUGGGCGCGAGCCUGAUGCAGCCAUGCCGCGUGUAUGAAGAAGGCCUUCGGGUUGUAAAGUACUUUCAGCGGUGAGGAAGGGAGUAAAGUUAAUACCUUGGCUCAUUGACGUUACCCGGAGAAGAAGCACCGGCUAACUCCGUG